rnacentral:tRNA from 1 species
AUAAAAUUAAGUUAGCUAGACUAAAUGUUUUCAAAACAUUCAGAGGCGAUAUUAUAGCCAUUUUAUG